AGCGAACGCUGGCGGCAGGCCUAACACAUGCAAGUCGAACGGAUCCUUCGGGAUUAGUGGCGGACGGGUGAGUAACACGUGGGAACGUGCCCUUUGGUUCGGAACAACUCAGGGAAACCUGAGCUAAUACCGGAUGUGCCCUUCGGGGGAAAGAUUUAUCGCCAUUGGAGCGGCCCGCGUCUGAUUAGCUAGUUGGUGAGGUAACGGCCCACCAAGGCUACGAUCAGUAGCUGGUUUGAGAGGAUGAGCAGCCACACUGGGACUGAGACACGGCCCAGAAUCCUACGGGAGGCAGCAGUGGGGAAUCUAGCGCAAUGGGCGAAAGCAUGACGCAGCCAUGCCGCGUGAAUGAUGAAGGUCGUAGGAUUGUAAAAUUCUUUAAGCGGGGACGAUAAUGACGGUACCCGCAGAAGAAGCUCCGGCUAACUUCGUG
rnacentral:rRNA from 1 species